GAUGAACGCUGGCGGCGUGCCUAAUACAUGCAAGUCGAGCGAACAGACGAGGAGCUUGCUCCUCUGACGUUAGCGGCGGACGGGUGAGUAACACGUGGAUAACCUACCUAUAAGACUGGGAUAACUUCGGGAAACCGGAGCUAAUACCGGAUAAUAUAUUGAACCGCAUGGUUCAAUAGUGAAAGACGGUUUUGCUGUCACUUAUAGAUGGAUCCGCGCCGCAUUAGCUAGUUGGUAAGGUAACGGCUUACCAAGGCGACGAUGCGUAGCCGACCUGAGAGGGUGAUCGGCCACACUGGAACUGAGACACGGUCCAGACUCCUACGGGAGGCAGCUGUAGGGAAUCUUCCGCAAUGGGCGAAAGCCUGACGGAGCAACGCCGCGUGAGUGAUGAAGGUCUUCGGAUCGUAAAACUCUGUUAUUAGGGAAGAACAAAUGUGUAAGUAACUAUGCACGUCUUGACGGUACCUAAUCAGAAAGCCACGGCUAACUACGUG
rnacentral:rRNA from 1 species